rnacentral:rRNA from 1 species
AUACAGAGGGUGCGAGCGUUAAUCGGAAUUACUGGGCGUAAAGGGCGCGUAGGCGGAUAUUUAAGUUAGAUGUGAAAUCCCUGGGCUUAACCUAGGAACUGCAUUUAAAACUGGGUGUCUAGAGUAUUGUAGAGGGUAGUGGAAUUUCCGGUGUAGCGGUGAAAUGCGUAGAGAUCGGAAGGAACACCAGUGGCGAAGGCGGCUACCUGGACAAAUACUGACGCUGAGGCGCGAAAGCGUGGGGAGCAAACAGGAUUAGAUACCCUGGUAGUCCACGCUGUAAACGAUGAGAACUAGAUGUUGGCCAGCAUGACUGGUUAGUGUCGCAGCUAACGCGAUAAGUUCUCCGCCUGGGAAGUACGGCCGCAAGGCUAAAACUCAAAGGAAUUGACGGGGCCCGCACAAGCGGUGGAGCAUGUGGUUUAAUUCGAUGCAACGCGAAGAACCUUACCUACCCUUGACAUCCUAGGAAUUUUGCAGAGAUGCGAAAGUGCCGAAAGGAACCUAGAGACAGGUGC